rnacentral:rRNA from 1 species
UACGUAGGGGGGCAAGCGUUGUCCGGAUUUAUUGGGCGUAAAGAGCUUGUAGGUGGUUUUGUCGCGUCUGCUGUGAAAAAUCCGAGGCUCAACCUCGGACUUGCAGUGGGUACGGGGCAGACUAGAGUGUGGUAGGGGGAGACUGGAAUUCCUGGUGUAGCGGUGGAAUGCGCAGAUAUCAGGAGGAACACCGAUGCGAAGGCAG